UACGUAGGGGGCAAGCGUUGUCCAGAAUCAUUGGGCGUAAAGCGCGCGUAGGUGGCUUCGUAAGUCCGUUGUGAAAGUCAAAGGCUCAACCUUUGAAAGCCGAUGGAUACUGCGGAGCUAGAGUACGGAAGAGGCGAGUGGAAUUCCUGGUGUAGCGGUGGAAUGCGCAGAUAUCAGGAGGAACACCAAUAGCGAAGGCAGCUCGCUGGGACGUUACUGACACUGAGGCGCGAAAGCGUGGGGAGCGAACAGG
rnacentral:rRNA from 1 species